UACGGAGGGUGCAAGCGUUAUCCGGAUUCACUGGGUUUAAAGGGUGCGUAGGUGGGCAGGUAAGUCAGUGGUGAAAUCUCCGGGCUUAACCCGGAACUGCCGUUGAUACUAUCUGUCUUGAAUGUAGUGGAGGUGAGCGGAAUAUGUCAUGUAGCGGUGAAAUGCUUAGAUAUGACAUAGAACAUCGAUUGCGAAGGCAGCUCGCUACACUAUGAUUGACACUGAGGCACGAAAGCGUGGGGAUCAAACAGG
rnacentral:rRNA from 1 species